rnacentral:rRNA from 1 species
UACGUAGGGUGCGAGCGUUAAUCGGAAUUACUGGGCGUAAAGCGUGCGCAGGCGGUUUUGUAAGCCAGAUGUGAAAUCCCCCGGGCUUAACCUGGGAAUGGCAUUUGGGACUGCAAGGCUUGAGUGCGGCAGAGGAGACUGGAAUUCCUGGUGUAGCAGUGAAAUGCGUAGAUAUCAGGAGGAACACCGAUGGCGAAGGCAGGUCUCUGGGCUGACACUGACGCUCAUGCACGAAAGCGUGGGGAGCAAACAGGAUUAGAGUACCCC